rnacentral:rRNA from 1 species
UACGAAGGGGACUAGCGUUGUUCGGAUUUACUAGGCGUAAAGGGCGCGUAGGCGGCCACCGCAAGUCGACUGUGAAAUCUCCGGGCUUAACCCGGAAAGGUCAGCCGAUACUGCGGGGCUAGAGUGCAGAAGGGGCAACUGGAAUUCUCGGUGUAGCGGUGAAAUGCGUAGAUAUCGAGAGGAACACCUGCGGCGAAGGCGGGUUGCUGGGCUGACACUGACGCUGAAGCGCGAAAGCUAGGGGAGCGAACGGG